rnacentral:lncRNA from 1 species
GCUCGGUAAUGGGAGCUGACCUGGCAGAUCUGACAAUCUUUUUAAACAUUGUUUUAUGAGCCCAACAAUCAGGAGUGUCUGUGUGUAAGGAGGGCGAAAUCCAAUAGUAGUAAUGGCAUUAUGGGGGAUGGAAUUAGAGGACAAAUGAAGGAGGUACACGUCACUCUUCUCUAAUCAACAUCACCCACAACCAUUCAUCAGACAAACCACAUUACACCACACGUGCAAAUGUCUACUUAGUUAUUUCUAUAUCUAACAGAUGGCCUUUCUCCACACAUCAAGAGAUACAUAACAAGUUGGGGCUAACAAGUACAUUACAAUAUGUCACUGCUCGCUCUCUCACACCCACACACACCACACACCACACACACACACACACACACACACACACUGUAGAGAGCGACAGAGGGGUACAGGUGAGACGUGAGGGCAUCACACACACUGUAGAGAGCGACAGAGGGGUACAGGUGAGACGAGAGAGCAUCACACACACUGUAGAGUGCGACAGAGGGGUACAGGUGAGACGAGGGGGAAUCACCACACACUGUAGAGCGGACAGAGGGGUACAGGGAGACGAGAGAGCAUCACACAACACACUGUAGAGUGCGACAGAGGGGUACAGUGAGGACGAUGAGGGAGAGCAUCACACACACUGUAGAGAGCGACAGAGGGGUACAGGUGAGACGCGAGAGAGCAUCACACACACUGUAGAGUGCGACAGAGGGGUACAGGUGAGACGGGGAAUCACACACACUGUAGAGAGCGACAGAGGGGUACAGGUGAGACGAGAGAGCAUCACACACACGUAGAGUGCGACAGAGGGGUACAGGUGGACGAGAGAGAGCAUCACACCACUGUAGAGAGCGACAGAGGGGUACAGGUGAGACGAGAGAGCAUAACACACACUGUAGAGAGGCGCAGAGGGUACAGGUGAGACGAGGGGCAUCACACACAUGUGAGUGCGACA